rnacentral:tRNA from 1 species
GGUAACGUGGCCGAGUCUGGUUUAUGGCACCGCCCUGAUAAGGUGGCGCACCCUGACGGGUGCCGAGGGUUCGAAUCCCUCCGUUAAUU